rnacentral:rRNA from 1 species
CCUACGGGUGGCAGCAGUGGGGAAUAGUGGGCAAUGGGCGAAAGCCUGACCCAGCAACGCCGCGUGAAGGAAGAAGGCUUUCGGGGUGUAAACUUCUUGUGACAGGGAAGAGGAGAAGACGGUACCUGUCGAAUAAGCCAAGGCUAACUACGUGCCAGCAGGCGGGGGAAUACGUAGGUGGCAAGCGUUGUACGGAUUUACUGGGUGUAAAGGGCGUGUAGCCGGGUUGACAAGUCAGAUGUGAAAUCCUGCGGCUUAACCGCAGAACGGCAUUGGAAACUGUUGAUCUUGAGUACUGGAGCGGCCGCCGGCAUUCCUAGUGUAGCGGUGAACUGCGUAGCUAUUAGUCGGCCCACCAGUGGCGACGGCGGUCUGCUGGACAGCAACUGACGGUGAGGCGCGACCGCGUUGGGAGCAAACCGGAUUAGCUACCCCUGUAGUC